UGAAUGGGAUGAUCUAUCUAAGUAGAUAAUUCUGGAAGCAGUUUGGAGAGAGAGGAUGGAGGUCUCAAAUAUUAAGUGGCAAUUUUAGAUUACACCAGUUUAGACAGCAAAGCCAGAGAAAAUAUGCUGAACAAUAACAGAAAAGGUCUGUGUGUGUUUUUCUUCUAUAGCCAAGGGAUGCACAGGCAGCCCCAAGGCAAUGAUGAUGUCAAAUUUUGUUAGAGAAUUUACUGAAUCUGACUCAGUGAUAGAUGACAAUACAAGACAACAAGAAAGGUAUGUCACAAAGCCCAAAUGACAAAUGUCAAUUGAAUAGUGCAGUUAAGUGCUAAGAGUUCAGAGGAGCUAGUGAUUACCAUGAGCCACAUUGAUCAGGAUUUUACUAGUAAGAUUUUUUUCCUUAAUACUAAGAUGUUAGCUGACAUGCUUUUCUUAUUAUGAUGAUAAAUAUUGUUACAAAUCUGAAACUAGAAUGAGUUGAAUAAGAAAAUACAAAAGACGAAAUUUGAAAUUUCAACUAUCUCUCAGCCUCAGGAUAAGCACUGAGAAGGAAAGAGUCAGUGGAAGUUUCUAGAGCCUCAAGGAUCAGGACCACUGAACUCAGAACAGUAGCGGCCUGUAAGCUCAUCCCUCUUCACAGUAGACCCUGUCUCUGCACUCAUGCUCUACUCUUCCAGCCAACAGGUCAUGAAUUAAGGGUGAAGAGAUCCAGUCCUGGAUGGGGAUCCAUACUCAGUGCAGAGUUUGCUUAAGGCUCUCUCUUUUUAAAAUAUGUAAGUAAAAUCUUUAAAAUAAAAUAAAGUGGUAAUUUUUUAUUGCAGUAAAAUAUGCAUUACAUACAAUUUAUCAUUUUAAGCAUUUUUACGUCUACAUUUCAGUGAUGUGUAGAACAUUCAUGCGGUUGUGCAACAAACAACCUUCCCAGAACUUUUUCAUCUUCCCAAACUGAAAUUUUGUCCCCAUUAAACACCCCCUUCUUCCUUUCCUCCCAGCCCUUGGCAAGCACCCUUAUAUUUUCUUUCUUUAUGAAUUUGUACCUUGGUACUUAGAGUAUUUGUGUAUUUGUCCUUUGUGACUGGCUUGUUUUACUGAAUGUCAAUGUCUUCA
rnacentral:lncRNA from 1 species